rnacentral:pre_miRNA from 1 species
UGGAUUUGUUUGACGAUGAGAGAGAGCACGCUUGUCAGCAUCCAUGAAACAUUCAUGAGUGUUUACGGGCGUGCUCCCUCUCAUCGUCAUAAAAUCGAUCU